GACGAACGCUGGCGGCGUGCUUAACACAUGCAAGUCGAACGCUGAAGCACCAGCUUGCUGGUGUGGAUGAGUGGCGAACGGGUGAGUAAUACGUGAGUAACCUGCCCUUGACUCUGGGAUAAGCCCGGGAAACUGGGUCUAAUACUGGAUGCUACAUGUCACCGCAUGGUGGUGUGUGGAAAGGGUUUACUGGUCUUGGAUGGGCUCACGGUCUAUCAGCUUGUUGGUGAGGUAAUGGCUCACCAAGGCGACGACGGGUAGCCGGCCUGGGAGGGUGACCGGCCACACUGGGACUGGGACACGGCCCAGACUCCUACGGGGGGCAGGAGUGGGGAAUAUUGCACAAAGGGCGGAAGCCUGAUGCAGCGACGCCGGGUGGGGGAUGACGGCCUUCGGGUUGUAAACCUCUUUCAGCAGGGAAGAAGCCACAAGUGACGGUACCUGCAGAAGAAGCGCCGGCUAACUACGUG
rnacentral:rRNA from 1 species